rnacentral:rRNA from 1 species
UAGGGAAUCUUCCACAAUGGACGAAAGUCUGGUGGAGCAACGCCGCGUGGGUGAAGAAGGGUUUCGGCUCGUAAAACUCUGUUGUUAAAGAAGAACAUAUCUGAGAGUAACUGUUCAGGUAUUGACGGUAUUUAACCAGAAAGCCACGGCUAACUACGUGCCAG